CGUGGUCUAGUUGGUCAUGACGUCUGCUUCACACGCAGAAGGUCGCGAGUUCGAGUCUCGCCG
rnacentral:ncRNA from 14 species